rnacentral:rRNA from 1 species
GACCGAGGGGGCAAGCGUUGCUCGGAAUCCCUGGGCGUAAAGGGCGCGUAGGCGGGAUGGCAAGUCGGUCGUGAAAUCUCUCGGCUCAACCGAGAAACGUCGGCCGAUACUGCCGUUCUUGAGGGAUGCAGAGGAGACUGGAAUUCCCGGUGUAGCGGUGAAAUGUGUAGAGAUCGGGAGGAACACCGGUGGCGAAGGCGGGUCUCUGGGCAAUUCCUGACGCUGAGGCGCGAAAGCGUGGGGAGCAAACGGG